rnacentral:rRNA from 1 species
UACGGAGGGGGCUAGCGUUGUUCGGAAUUACUGGGCGUAAAGCGCGCGUAGGCGGAUUGUUAAGUCAGGGGUGAAAUGCCGAGGCUCAACCUCGGAACUGCCUUUGAUACUGGCAAUCUGGAGUACGGGAGAGGUGAGUGGAAUUCCGAGUGUAGAGGUGAAAUUCGUAGAUAUUCGGAGGAACACCAGAAGCGAAGGCGGCUCACUGGCCCGAUACUGACGCUGAGGCGCGAAAGCGUGGGGAGCAAACAGG